rnacentral:ncRNA from 2 species
AAUUAAAACGGCGAUGAAGUUCGCCUUUUAUCCCAGCUCCGGGGUUAAUGACUUCUAUUAUUUU